rnacentral:rRNA from 1 species
GAUGAACGCUGGCGGCGUGCUUAACACAUGCAAGUCGAACGAAGUGGCGAACGGGUGAGUAACGCGUAAUCAACCUGCCCUUCAGAGGGGGACAACAGUUGGAAACGACUGCUAAUACCGCAUACUGAAGGAGGGGCUUGCGUCUGAUUAGCUAGGUGGAGGGGUAACGGCCCACCAAGGGGAUGAUCAGUAGCCGGUCUGAGAGGAUGAACGGCACAAUUGGGACUGAGAAACCGGCCAGACUCCUAAGGGAGGCAGCAGGGGGGAAUCUUCCGAAAUGGAGGAAAGUCGUACGGAGGAACGCCGCGUGAGUGAUGACGGCCUUCGGGGUGUAAAGCUCUGUUAAUCGGGACGCGGUACCGGAAUAGAAAGCAACGGCUAACUACGUGCCAGCAGCCGCGGUAAUUC